CCUACGGGAGGCAGCAGCUAGGAAUCUUGGGAAUGGGCGAAAGCCUGACCCAGCAACGCCGCGUGGGCGAUGAAGGCCUUAGGGUCGUAAAGCCCUUUUGUGGGGGACGAUGAUGACGGUACCCCGCGAAUAAGCCACGGCUAACUACGUGCCAGCAGCCGCGGUAAUACGUAGGUGGCAAGCGUUGUCCGGAUUUACUGGGCGUAAAGGGCGCGCAGGCGGUCUGUUUAGUCUAGGGUGAAAGCUCCCGGCUCAACUGGGAGAGGUCCUUGGAUACUGGCAGACUCGAGGGAUGCAGAGGAAAGUGGAAUUCCCGGUGUAGUGGUGAUAUGCGUAGAUAUCGGGAGGAACACCAGUGGCGAAGGCGGCUUUCUGGGCACUACCUGACGCUGAGGCGCGAAAGCGUGGGGAGCGAACCGGAUUAGAUACCCGGGUAGUCCACGCCGUAAACGAUGGACACUAGGUGUGGGGGGUAUCGACCCCCUCCGUGCCGCAGCUAACGCAAUAAGUGUCCCGCCUGGGGAGUACGGCCGCAAGGCUAAAACUCAAAGGAAUUGACGG
rnacentral:rRNA from 1 species